AGGACGAACGCUGGCGGCGUGCUUAACACAUGCAAGUCGAGCGGAAAGGCCCUUUCGGGGGUACUCGAGCGGCGAACGGGUGAGUAACACGUGAGUAACCUGCCUCUGGCUUUGGGAUAACCCUCGGAAACGGGGCUAAUACCGAAUAUUCAUUCUCGCAGGCAUCUGUGGGUUGGAAAGUUUUUCGGCCAGGGAUGGGCUCGCGGCCUAUCAGCUUGUUGGUGGGUAAUGGCCUACCAAGGCUUCGACGGGUA
rnacentral:rRNA from 1 species